AUCGAAGACGGAGCAUUCCCUGAUAUGAGGUUCAUGGUGAUACAGGAAAACUUCAAGGUUCCGGCAGAUGGUGUUUAAAACUAUUGGCCAGUAAACACAAAUUAAACCCAUUUAAUUAUAUCUUGAAUCUUCACCAGUAGAAAAAAGAUGGCAGUACUUUUAAUGCAAGCAGCUACUAGGGAAGAUUUAAUGAAGAAGAUGAGGAAGUGGAGAAAAAGCUGAAGAACAAGGAGGACAAGAUGAAGAAAGGACAAGGGCACAGUGACUUGCAGUGUGUGUCAUGUAACAUUAUUACAACAACUAUAUCAUGGGUCCAUAAUUUUGAGUAAGUCAUUCAUCAACCACUUUAUCUGUACUGGAAACCAUUUCUCAGGGGGAUGAAGUGAUGGAAGAUAAUGAGCCAGAGGGUGGAACGGAAGAGAAAGGGAAAGAAAUAAAGAAAAAGGCAAAAUGAAAAAGGACUAGAACUUGCAAUAGAAGAAAAAGUUGAGGGAAAUUAAGAGGAAGAAAUUGAAGAUGAAAAGAAGAGCUCUGGGAGGAAAAAAUUCCAUUUGUUAAGAAUGUGUGGACAAAAGAAAAACAGCCAUAGAAUGCCAAUGUGGAGUGGAAUAAGUCAGUAUGACUUGAUCAUGGUCAAUUGAAGUGUUCGAAUGCCCCUCCAGAAAGCAGAACAAUCUUUGAAUUUGCAGGAAAGAGUAUAAAAUUUGCUGUUAAAAUAUCAUAACAGCUAGACAAAGAUUAAAUAACAACUACACAUACAUCUAAAGAAUUCUUUUGUCAUAAUAGUGAUUCAAGUGCAAGUACAUGUAACAAGUGCUAUAACGACCUAAUAUUAGUGUGUUUUAGGAGCAUGUUGACUCUAUUGUAAAUGUAUUGACUCCUUAUAUGACCUCAAUUAUAUAUAUCAUUAUAUGAAUGGUAGUGUAGUGACUUGAAAUGUGUGUUAGUAGUAUAGCUCGUUAUGUGUGGUAAUUUUGUUAUUUGUUAUACAUGUAUGAUAGUACAUAUAGUAUGGUGACUCGUGUGUUGGGAAUUAAUGUAUAAUUUUAUGUGUGUUACUGGUAUAACUCAUAAUGUGUGUAAAUAUUGCUUUUUGUAAUGUAUAUUUUAUUAGUGUAGUGACUCGACAUGUGUGUUAGUAGUGUAGUGACUCGACAUGUGUGUUAGUUCUGUAGUGACUCGACAUGUGUGUUAGUAAUGUAGUGACUCGACAUGUGUGUUAGUAAUGUAGUGACUUGACAUAUGUGUUAGUUCUGUAGUGACUUGACAUAUGUGUUAGUUCUGUAAUGACUUGACAUGUGUGUUAGUUCUGUAGUGACUUGACAUGUGUGUUAGUUCUGUAGUGACUUGACAUGUGUGUUAGUAGUGUAGCUUAUUAUGUGCGGUAAUUUUGUUAUUUGUUAUGUGAGUUGUACAUGUAGUAUGGCGACUCAUGUGUUGGGAAUGUAUAAUUUUAUAUUCUUGCUCUGAAGGAUACUGUUUUACCCUUGUGUGUCUAGCUGUGUGUGUGUUUAUCUGUCUGUCCAUAACAUGAGAUUUAUUUUUGUACAAGUCUGAUGUCAACUUCCUGUUUAUCUGUGUGUCUGUCUAUACCAUAUAUAACAAAUAUUUGUUGCAGUUUCUCAUCAACUACUUAUUGCAGAUGCAUGAAAAUUUACACACUAUUUGUUUAGGCAUGCCAUAUAAUGGGAUUAAUUUCUGAAUUUGAUGUCAACUUCCUGUUUAACUGUGCGUCUGUCUGUAUAAUAUGGAACAAAUUUUUGUCAAAGUUUUCUCAGCAACAACUCAUUGCAGAUGCUUGAAAUUUAGCACACUCUUUGUUGAGGCAUAAUUGUCAUAUGGUGGGAUUCAUUUUUGUAUGAAUCUGAUGUCAACUUCCUGUUUAUAUGUGCAUCUGUCCAUAGCUGAACUUGUGUAUAUUCACAUGAUAGUGUAUAUUCAUAUCACAGUGGGGGUAUUACCAGUGAGCAUUGGCUCACAGACUUCUGGUUUUAUGUGUGUUACUGAUAUAGCUCAUCAUGUGAUUUAAUGUUGUUAUAUGUAAUGUAUAUAUUAGAAGUGUAGUUACUCGACAUGUGUGUUAGUGGUAUAGUGACUCGACAUGUGUGUUAGUGGUAUAGUGACUCGACGUGUGUAAGUGGUAUAGUGACUCGACAUGUGUGUUAGUAGUGUAGUGACUCGACAUGUGUGUUUGUAGUGUAGCUUUUUAUGUGUGGUAAUUUUGUUAUUUGUUAUGUGUGUUGUACAUGUAGUAUGGUGACUCAUUACGUGUUGGGAAUAUGUAAUUUUAUGUGUGUUAUUGUUAAAGCUCCUCAUGUUCUUAUAUUGUUAUUUGUAAUAUACAGUGAAACUUGUCCUAUCCGGAUGUUGUGUACUCCAAAAUCUUGACUAAUACAGUGUUAACUUUAAGUCACCUGCAGUAGACUCAAUUGUUUUAAAUGUUGUCUAAUCCAGAAUGUUGUCUAAUCCAGCUAAUUUCUUUGGAACCAGUGGUGUUCAGAUUAAAAAAGCUUUACUGUAUAUAUUAGUAGUGUAGUAACUCUACAUGUGUGUUAGUUCUGUAGUGACUUGACAUGUGUGUUAGUUCUGUAGUGACUCAACAUGUGUGUUAGUUCUGUGGUGACUUGACAUGUGUGUUAGUAGUGUAGCUUAUUAUGUGUGGUAAUUUUGUUAUUUGUUAUGUGUGUUGUACAUAUAAUAUGGUGACUGGUGGGAUUGUAUAAUUUUAAAUGUGUUACUUGUAUAACUCGUGUGAUUUAAAAUUGUUAUUUGUAAGGUAUAUAUUAGAAGUGUAGUGACUCGACAUGUGUGUAAGUAGUGUAGUGACUUGACAUGUGUGUUAGUUCUGUAAUGACUUGACAUGUGUGUUAGUUUUGUAGUGACUCGACGUGUGUGUUAGUAGUGUAGUGACUCGACAUGUGUGUUAGUUCUGUAGUGACUUGACAUGUGUGUUAGUAGUGUAGCUUAUUAUGUGUGGUAAUUUUGUUAUUUGUCAUGUGAGUUGUACAUGUAGUAUGGUGACUCAUGUGUUGGGAAUGUAUAAUUUUAUGUGUGUUACUGGUAUAGCUCAAUGUGUUUUUUAAUAUUGUUACAGGUAUUUGUAAUACAUAUAUUUGUAUUGUUAUUUUGAUUUGUGUGUUGUUACAUGUAGCAUGGGACUCAUUUUGUGUUGGGAAUGUAGAAUUUUACCUGCGGUAGUGUAGCUCAUUUUGAGUGCUAAUAUUGUUAUUUUUAUGUGUAAUAGUCGUGUAGUGACUCAAUAUGUGUGUAAGUAGUGUAGCUCAUUAUGUGUUUUCAUGUUGAGUUAGUUUAGAAGAGUGUUGACUUAUUGUGUAAGUUAGAGUAGCCUCUUGCUAUGUGUGAGCAUAAUAUAAAAAGACACUUUUUUAUGAUGUGUAUAUAAUUACAUGUAUUAAAACAAUGCUAAAUAUAAUAUUAUAUCAACCUCUGUUGAUAAACAUGCAUGUGUUGAAUUUCUAAUGUAAUGUAAGCUGCAUGAAUAGAUCAUAUUUUGACUGAAUUUUGAAUGAGCACAAUUUGUGAUGAUUUUAAUUUUUGAAAUAAACAGAAAUUUAAUUUUC